rnacentral:rRNA from 1 species
AUUGAACGCUGGCGGCAGGCCUAACACAUGCAAGUCGAGCGGAUGAAGGGAGCUUGCUCCUGGAUUCAGCGGCGGACGGGUGGGUAAUGCCUAGGAAUCUGCCUGGUAGUGGGGGAUAACGUCCGGAAACGGGCGCUAAUACCGCAUACGUCCUGAGGGAGAAAGUGGGGGAUCUUCGGACCUCACGCUAUCAGAUGAGCCUAGGUCGGAUUAGCUAGUUGGUGGGGUAAAGGCCUACCAAGGCGACGAUCCGUAACUGGUCUGAGAGGAUGAUCAGUCACACUGGAACUGAGACACGGUCCAGACUCCUACGGGAGGCAGCAGUGGGGAAUAUUGGACAAUGGGCGAAAGCCUGAUCCAGUCAUGCCGCGUGUGUGAAGAAGGUCUUCGGAUUGUAAAGCACUUUAAGUUGGGAGGAAGGGCAGUAAGUUAAUACCUUGCUGUUUUGACGUUACCAACAGAAUAAGCACCGGCUAACUUCGUG